rnacentral:lncRNA from 1 species
UUCUGGUAGCCAUGUUCAUUCUCUCCCCUGCAGGGUCGGUUUUCUGGUAGCCAUGUUCAUUCUCUCCCCUGCAGGGUCGGUUUUCUGGUAGCCAUGUUCAUUCUCUCAUCCUGCCGGGUCGGUUUUCUGGUAGCCAUGUUCAUUCUCUCCCCUGCAGGGUCGGUUUUCUGGUAGCCAUGUUCAUUCUCUCCCCUGCCGGGUCGGUUUUCUGGUAGCCAUGUUCAUUCUCUCCCCUGCAGGGUCGGUUUUCUGGUAGCCAUGUUCAUUCUCUCCCCUGCCGGGUCGGUUUUCUGGUAGCAUGUUCAUUCUCUCCCCUGCCGGGUCGGUUUUCUGGUAGCCAUGUUCAUUCUCUCCCCUGCAGGGUCGGUUUUCUGGUAGCCAUGUUAAUUCUCUCCCCUGCAGGGUCGGUUUUCUGGUAGCAUGUUCAUUCUCUCCCCUGCCGGGUCGGUUUUCUGGUAGCCAUGUUCAUUCUCUCCCCUGCCGGGUCGGUUUCCUGGUAGCCAUGUUCAUUCUCUCCCCUGCCGGGUCGGUUUCCUGGUAGCCAUGUUCAUUCUCUCCCCUGCAGGGUCGGUUUGUAAAGCGUAAUCAUGUGGCUCCGGUGAGCUGCU